rnacentral:lncRNA from 1 species
ACAUGGCAAGCAGGGGCCAGAUUAUAUACACUGCCUUAAAGAUUAUGGUCUUUAUCCUCAGUGCAACAAAAUAAAGUCAUUGAAGAGUUUUAAGUAGAGGACUGACAUGAUGACAUGUUAGGUUCAGCCUUCUGAAGAAUUUGAGAAUCCAUCAUUGCACUGGAAAAUGGAACAAAAAGUCGACUUCAAAGGACCUUGCCCACAAAAGACACCAGAAUGGCAUGAAAAUGCACCUCACAGACAGAGCACCCAGCUGCUGUGCUUUGAAGUCAGCCACACCUCCCAUUCAUUGCUGUUACCAAUGGACUGACUGAAUGCUGUGGCGAUACUGAGGCCGUCUUAGUCCCGGAAGACAGCAGUUCUCAAGAAUGUUGGAAUAUGGUGGUUUGGGAAUGAGUUUAUCAGAAU